GAGCGCAAGCGACGUUCAACCGCAAAAGAAGCAGAGGGGGCUUAGUGGUGGGGUGACUGCGUACCUUUUGUAUAAUGGGUCAGCGACUUAUAUUCUGUAGCAAGGUUAACCGUAUAGGGGAGCCGGAGGGAAACCGAGUCUUAAUUGGGCGUUAAGUUGCAGGGUAUAGACCCGAAACCCGGUGAUCUAGCCAUGGGCAGGUUGAAGGUUGGGUAACACUAACUGGAGGACCGAACCGACUAAUGUUGAAAAAUUAGCGGAUGACCUGUGGCUGGGGGUGAAAGGCCAAUCAAACCGGGAGAUAGCUGGUUCUCCCCGAAAGCUAUUUAGGUAGCGCCUCGUGAAUUCAUCUCCGGGGGUAGAGCACUGUUUCGGCUAGGGGGCCAUCCCGGCUUACCAACCCGAUGCAAACUGCGAAUACCGGAGAAUGUUAUCACGGGAGACACACGGCGGGUGCUAACGUCCGUCGUGAAGAGGGAAACAACCCAGACCGCCAGCUAAGGUCCCAAAGUCAUGGUUAAGUGGGAAACGAUGUGGGAAGGCCCAGACAGCCAGGAUGUUGGCUUAGAAGCAGCCAUCAUUUAAAGAAAGCGUAAUAGCUCACUGGUCGAGUCGGCCUGCGCGGAAGAUGUAACGGGGCUAAACCAUGCACCGAAGCUGCGGCAGCGAACGUAUCACUUAAAGCGAUUCAGCG
rnacentral:rRNA from 1 species